AGAUAUUCUGUUGGAGACAGAGUAAAAGGUUAGAAUUGUACGACGAUAUCUACUGACCACGCAGAGUCGACAGAGCAGUUAUAUUGAUAUUUGGCGAUGAGACUUGGAAUUUCAGGCUAGUGACUAUAUAUUUUUGAAAGUCUUACCAUCUAAAGGGAUUCGCGGAUUCGGAGUUUGUGGAAACUUAUUUUGUGGUAUAUUAAUUCCUUCGGGGUAUUGGAAUGAGUUGGACUGGUGGCAUACGUGGUUACGUUACCGCC
rnacentral:lncRNA from 1 species